UCAGCUUUAGUAUAAAUAUAUUACAAAGGUCUUGUAAACCUUAAAUCUAAUUGCUAGAGGCUGAU
rnacentral:tRNA from 1 species